GACGAACGCUGGCGGCGUGCUUAACACAUGCAAGUCGAACGGUAAGGCCCUUCGGGGUACACGAGUGGCGAACGGGUGAGUAACACGUGGGUGAUCUGCCCUGCACUUCGGGAUAAGACUGGGAAACUGGGUCUAAUACCGGAUCGGACUCCUGGCUUCAUGGUUGGGGGUGGAAAGCUUUUGCGGUGUGGGAUGGGCCCGCGGCCUAUCAGCUUGUUGGUGGGGUAAUGGCCUACCAAGGCGACGACGGGUAGCCGGCCUGAGAGGGUGACCGGUCACACUGGGACUGAGAUACGGCCCAGACUCCUACGGGAGGCAGCAGUGGGGAAUAUUGCACAAUGGGCGCAGGCCUGAUGCAGCGACGCCGCAUGAGGGAUGACGGCCUUCGGGUUGUAAACCUCUUUCAGCUAUGACGAAGCGCAAGUGACGGUAGUAGCAGAAGAAGGACCGGCCAACUACGUGCCAGCCGCCGCCGUAA
rnacentral:rRNA from 1 species